AUCGUGAACUUCGAACCUAUUUGUGUGUCCUUGCAGCACAUUGGAUCUUCUGAACUAAUUAUUACAGUAUUACUAGACUGUAUCAGUGGCGAGCACCUACGGUACCGGUAUUCCGGUUAAGUCGUACCGUUGCAUACGGUAACUCAGUCGAGUAAUUGUUCCAAGAACUGAACUGGGAUUGACUCAAAGUUCCCAUUUCAUCAAAAAAAAUUUUAGUCGAUUAUACAGAAUUUUUUCGUAUAUCUUGGCAAUUUGUGACAGUAGGGAGAUUGGCCUAUAAUUGUUUGGGUCAUGCUUGCACCCUUUCUUGUGAAGUGGCACUACUUUGGCUAUUUUCAAUAUAUCUGGAUACACACUUUCAUGAAAACUUUGAUUAAAAAGCUUUGAUAAAAGGAAGAUAAAACAUAUUUGGCAGUUUUGAAAAGUCUUACAGUGAGGUGAUGCUACGAAGAAAGAAAGACUCUUUGAUGCUUGGCCCAAGGUUAUACAUGUGACUAUUCAAAGCUGAACCUGUGUUAGAUGCAGCCUUAGGACCGACUUCCAAAAAAUGUUGGUUCAGUGUACAACAACUGGCAUAUCCAUCAGUAAUCCAUGCUUUCGAAAACAAAUAACUGGCUAACUAAUCCCAUACCCGCCCUGGACUGGUAACCGGACGAGAGGCCGUGGUUUGCCAUAUGAUUAAGCCGUCUUAUCGACUUUCCUCUCCCUCGGGAUAAAUAUGUAAAUCCUAUCCUCAUUUUUUCACCAUCCACUAUGAUAUGGAAGCUUGUUUUUCUUAGAGGAGUUGACAAUUAUUCCAAUAAUGUGAAUCCGUGUUUUUGGCAGCUAGAAAGAACCGUUUUAUAGUGUAGCGAAUGUGCAUUGUGUAACUAUGAAUUAUAAUGUAUUUACCCUUUCAUUUUAAUAGUGUGUUCCAUUUCCCACAAUAGGUCAUUUUAUUGUAGCAACACUGAUUACAUGUACUGCCUUUCUCGUUUAGAUCCACUUCUGUUUUACUGCGUUAAGUGUGAUGUGUUUUGAUUCACUCCUGAUUUACUGUGUUAAGAGUUAAGUGUGUCUCAAUUUUAUCUGUUUUCGGAAUUUGGAUUGUGCAUCUUCCUAUAAGAUACAACAACGAUUAGCAUCAACACUGUGUGCUUAUUAUCGUCUGAAGGAGUCCAGAUUGGAGUCACAUUCCAUAACGCGUGUCAAAACAAUAACGCGGGAAUCGAACUUAAACAUAUAGGGUGAUAGUCUUUAUCUCAUCAUCAGCAUCUCAUCUCUUUCUCCCUAUAAAAGUAUUCUUGUCAUACAGUCAGACGAGUCAGUCAGUUCUCUGGCAAUCUGGUGUCAUAAAAUCCAUACCUACCGUACCGGUAUACUUCGGUACCGUAACGCAAUUCACGCUAACACUCUGUGUGACUUAGCAUGGUAGUUUUUCUAACUCGUUUAUCCCUAAACUUCCUAUCCGUCUAAAUCCGAUUCUGGAUGCGUUCUGUCGCUCAGCAACUUAAUUGUUACUUAUCUCACGAAAGCGAGGUUCAAUCUACUCCAAAUUGCAUGUGCAUUCAUCUUAGCUCGGAUCAGAAACCUAUUGAUUUUGGAUAGAUUAUGUUGCAUAAUUAGCGAGUUAUCAAUUAAUUAGUGAUGGGACACACGGUGUCACUAUGGAGUAAGACCACUGUUUUGGGGGAACCCCCAACCUUCGAUCGAUAAGUCUUCGGUUUCCAACCGAAUUCUAGUUCAUUGACUGAUGUUGGUAUACCCGCAGGCAGAAAUUUUUUUUUUCUUUCCUUCAAAUCUUAUGUGUUGGAUGUCCAUGGAGUAUGAAUUCUGCUUCAGCAUUUGUACUUGGGAGUUUUUUUUUCUUUCAUUAAUUCUUCUGCAAAUAAAAAUUAUAGCUGGAUUUGAUGUUGCAAGUGACAAUAUAUAACAAUUUGAUAGCUGCCAUUGUACGGAAGUUCAACAAAUUGAUAUGUUGAACCAUUUUUUUUUUAACUACGGGUACCGGUCUAAUUGUAUUUCCCCGCCUUUUUUUACUCAUUCUAUAAUGAUAUGUUGCCUUUUUUAUUUUAUUUUUCAAUUUUUGACUCAUUUCAAAUGUUGGUGUCGCAGACCUAUGAUGACCCCGUCUGUUUCUUGCGAUGAAAGCCACCUGCUGUCAACUGCGAUUAAAUCCGUUGCUGUAUGGUAUAAUAAGCUGUGUGUUAAAUUUGUGUAUGAUUUCUUGCAUGGCGAAAUGAACGAAGAUAAAAAUUUUCGUACAGGAGGACAGCUCAGUAAUGUGGUGAACUAAUUUUAAAACUUAAUACUAAAGGAAUUUUCCCGAAUUAAUUUUUUUUUCUCUCCCUCAAAUGCUACCGUGUAUGAAGAUUUAUAUCGUUGCCUGCUUUCUUGGAUGACUAAGUUUCUCUUUGUAUCCAUUGCAUUCUUCUAUUGCAAAUUUUACUUUUUGACUCGUCUUAAAUCUAGGUGUCGCUGACUUAUGAUGACCAUUUCUGGUCCUUCGCGACUUCCUGUCAAUUGCAAUGAAAUUCGUUACUGUAAUGCAUAUAAUGUAAUUUGUUAUCUGUUGUGAAUUUUUGUUGCGAUUUUUUGCACGACGAAAUAAACAUAUUGUCUUGUUUAGCCUUUGCAAGACUCCUACAUAAUUUAUUCCUAUAUUUUUGUAUUCUCUUAUUUAUAACCAAUAAUUUUGGAUGGAUUUUAUCAAUGCUAAAUAUAAUUUCUGAAGUCAUAAAAUAUUAUAAAUUCUAGAGAGUUCUAGCAAAAGAAUUCGACCCAAAUAUUGCACGCAAGUGAAUAAUUCUCAUGUGAUAUGAUGAAUCACCCCUAUUUUACAUGGAUUUUGCUAGAGGUAUCGAGCAAAGACUGUUUGAAGUGUGAAACCUUAUAAAUAUGAUCUCAUCAAACAAAAGAAACAGCUAACGGCUAACCUUAAGAGAUAGAAGUGUAAUUUGUUUAUGCUGAUUUAAAUUGUUGUAAUAGAUUGUCGAAAGAAAUAAAAUUGUACAGUGGUGACGCCGAAUCUUGGGAUUUAUUACCAUGGAUCAUUGCCAACAAUCGUUCCUAGAUAUAAUGCUCCACCACGACAUCAAACGAGACAGUAUAUUUCACAAGAUAGAAGGCCGUCUGAAACGAGAGGUUUUGAUGGAGGCAAUAUGAGGAAUUCUAGGAAUACGUUCAGCUCGAAUAACUAUAACUGGAGCGGAAUUGUGAUGUGGUUACGAAUCCAACGAAAGAGGAGACAGAGAAAACUAAAGAGGAUCAGAACCAGACCAGAUAUGGCCGGACAGUACAUCCUCCAAUCCGGUACGGUCAGGCGGCAAUGUGCCAGAUCGAAGAAACCGAAGUGUAAAGGACGAUGAUGAAGUAAUCUCCCGGACCGAUAAUUAUGACAGAAAACUGGUCUACGUGAAACAUGGGGAAGUUGUUGGAACAGAACAUAUUGCAGACUUGGAACAAUGGAAAUUUCUGGGUAUCAUUGCCAGAACAACAAAAUAAAUCAAGAGACUCUGACUGGUAGUGGAGUCAAAAAACUUGGCCGGUCGAAGAUUGAAGAGAAAGCUUCUUGAUGAACAUUCAUCUACUUCGGAAAGGCGUACAAGCGAUUCUAGAGAUCAUGAAAGUCAAAGAUCACCAAUCCAUCGCCGUACCCUCUCUGAUGACCGAAACGGCAAUCGUUCAAGAGAAGGUCCCGGGCGUCCGUAUUUCACCCCACGGGUCACUCGUAGCCAAGCCGGAGCAAGAGGUGCUCCUGCAUAUGGGCGAGGCAAAUCGGGAAAUGCGCAACAACAAGCACGCGCAAGGAGUCCCAUUGAGCAGCCCACUACGGCUCAACCCAAAGCACCGAGUUAAAAAGGGGCCGAAAGUAGCCUAAAUAAAAGAAAGUGCGAAAAGUUUAAUGGCACGAAUCGCACCAAGAAUGGCACCAGCUGCCGCCAAAUUGGGCACAGCAAGCCAGACCGAAAAUGUGCAGAUUGUAUCUCUGUCGUCCAAUAGCGACAUCGGUUAAAUAAAAAUUAUGCUGGUCGUGCAACAAAAGACUCAUGACCUGAUGAAUGACAGGUUACGUAAUCGAGAAAUUAUAAUUGAGAAAUAUUGAAGUACUCUUUUCAUACCAGUUUUAUUGUUUCACCCGUGUAUCGUGUCUUACGAAAUCAUGAAAAUGUGGCAGUACCGACCUCUUUCCAUUUUCAAAGUCUAUAGUCUUUCUUUUCUGCUUCGCCUAUUUAUUGUACGUUAUAUUUCACUAUUUUUUCUCGUCUAUUUUUAGUGUAUAUGAUAUUCAUUCUUAUUAUUAUUGAAGUGCCUUUUUUUCCCAUUAUUUUAUUGUUUCUUGUUUUCGUCUAAUUAUCAUGCUUUAGAGUUAGUUGGGGGAGUUUGAUAAUUUUUUUUACAAAUCCUCAAAUAACAUCCACUGAAAGUAUUAAGAGUUUUGAAGACCUGAAUUUUUAACAGGAAUAACCACUGAUAACGCAAAUAGCAAUAAAGCUUUCCUCAUUAAAAGAACCGUUUUGAAAUUUUCUAUGAAUUUUUAGUUCGUACAUUGAAUAAAUUCAACUUACAAACAAAUUUUAAAGUCGUGUGAGUGAGAGGAAGGUAAUAUUAAUAUGUUACUCUUACUCAUCCACGCAUUUUGAAUCACACCAAAAUAAAUAUCUCUUGAAAUAAAUUAUACAAACAAAAUUAUAUGUGUUCCCCCCUGAUGUGUCUUUAUCAAUGUUCGAUUCCAAUGUUGCCUUGAUUUUAUUACAAUUAGUGCCUAAGUAACGUUUUAUUGUUUUUACUAUUGGUGUAUAUAUUAAUUGUGUAAAAAUCUAUCAAUUGCUGUUUUGUGACGUAAUAUUACUUAUAUUACUGAUUAUCUUACAUCCAACAGUUUUUUUGACUUUACAUCUUAUAUUGACAUUUCAAUUUUAUUGGGACCUUUGUGCUUUAUUGACAUAAUAAUUCCAUCAUCAUAUUGCAAGAGAAUUUAGGACUUAUGCAAUUAUCGGUUUUAAAAUUUUCGCAUGUGGGCAAGUGUAACAAAUUAACCAAUAAUUUUGGAUGGAUUAUAUCAAUGCUAAAUAUAAUUUCUGACGUCAUAAAAUAUUAUAAAUUCUAGAGAGUUCUAGCAAAAGAAUUCGACCCAAAUAUUGCACGCAAGUGAAUAAUUCUCAUGUGAUAUGAUGAAUCACCCCUAUUUUACAUGGAUUAUGCUAGAGGUAUCGAGCAAAGACUGUUUGAAGUGUGAAACCUUAUAAAUAUGAUCUCAUCAAACAAAAGAAACAGCUAACCUUAAGAGAUAGAAGUGUGAUUUGUUUAUGCUGAUUUAAAUUGUUGUAAUAGAUUGUCGAAAGAAAUAAAAUUGUACAGGUAAACCUUUCUGAUCCUUGGCUGUUAUAUCAAAUUAACAGAGAUCUCAAACUCAACUGAACAAGUAACCUUUACUAUAUUCUGUUUGGAGUCAGAAAACAAACUUACGCUUCAGUACUAAGUGAUUUCUUAGUAAAAGCUUUUUUUUGAAAAAUUAGAAUAAUUGGGAUAGCAAAAUCAGUUGUGGUUCUUUAAUAAAAUCUGUCAAAGGCCUAGGAACCUGUGUCUUGGUCCUGUUAAAGAGAGUGUUGGAUGAAACAGCUCGUCUUUUUUUGUAAUCAAAUUUUGUCUGAAAACAUGGCGGGUAGGGUGUCUGAGGUAUGGGCCUGCCAAUACAGCAAUAUCGUGUCGGUACUCGGUAGUCGUGUUAAUCAAUAUAAACGGAAAUAGUGACCUAGGAAAAUGGAGUGUAUAAUAAGAAUGUCUUUAUUUUUUGCCAUUCUUUCGUGUUUCUGCAAUGUAAUGUAUAUCUCCUGCCAAAUCAGAUGACCUGCCUGGAUCAUCACAGAUGGUCGUUUCCCCAGAAAUUAUACGGCAUUGCCAAAAGCCCCCGUCCAAGAGUACAACUCUUGCAAAGGUAGAUAGAAAAGAAUUUAAUUAAGAAGAAACAAUUAAGAAAAAAAGUAAAGCAAGGUAAAAAAGCGGGAAGACAGGAAUAAUCAUAUAAUUCGUCAACAGUGAUUUAACAGUAGCAUUGUUAGACAGCUCGGAAAUAAUGUUGUCUGCUGUUGAAAAGAUCCAGCACUCCCUAGAGACAGAGCAGUGACAUACAAAUUUAUGGGGACUGUGAAUGCAAAUGAGACAAAGCUGUGCUGCAAAUUUCCAGGAUAUAUAUGAAUUCUGGCUAUUCUAUGAUUGAUGAUAAUUUGGUUACAUAUUACCUAUGCCUUAUUUAAAAAACAGCUUUACUGAUUGUAGAAACUGUGUCUACUCAUGGGGUUUGGGAUUGAGUAAAAUUGUAUAACACAAUAAGCACUGGGUUCUAGUUUUUUGAUGGUGGCCCAUACCUGACACUGCCUGGCACAUGCCUCAAAUGAUAAAUUUUUUUUGUGUAAAUUACAUUUUUGUGGAAAAAUACUUUUUUUUUCCAAAACUAGUUCUGAAAACUCCAAAACAAUGCUGGGAAUAGUUAGCUGUUUUGUUAGACAUUCAGUGGGUAAAAGAGUGAAUAUUUAGUUCAAAGGGCCAAAGCGGUGUGGCCCCCCAAAGUUUGGUGGCCCAUACCUCUCCACUUUCCCCUACUAGUGAUUGUUUUAUAUUCUACUCUAUUGAAAUGAAAAUGGUCUAAUGAAGUAGCUGUUGUUUCAGUGACGCGUGUCGGUUUGUUAAUGCCACAAAGUAAACCACAAGAGUGGAUGCUAUGCACAUACCUGGUGACAUUAUUGUCCAUUUGAUAUUUCAUCAAAUCAACGUUAAAAUCUCCAAUAAUAUAUGUACAAUUUCCACUGGAAUUCACUAAAUUUGAAGCUUGUAUAAAUUUAUCUAUAAAAACAUUUAUAUGAUGGGUGCCUAUAAUUAUAUGACUGCAAUAAUAAGAUUUUCGGCAUUGCAGUUAAUUUCAGACUGAUUGAUUUCAAUCCAUAACUCCUCGCAUCCCACUAAAUUUAAGCUAACAUCAUCACGUAUGUGGUAUUUGAUACAUUCUAAAAUAUAUAAACCUACUCCUGCUUUAGUAAGCCGGAAUCUUUACGUAUAAAAUAAUAUCCCAUAAUGGGAACAUCUAGAGAGGCCUCUCCCAGUUUGGUUAUGUCAGCUCCCUAUUAUGUCAGGCAAUCUUUUACUGGGACCUAUUAAAUACUCAAUUUGUAGACUAUUUUUUGUAAGCUCCCUACAUUAAAAUGGAGUUCGGCAAUUUCUCAGCAACUUCAUUCGGAUUAAUAUAAUCGCCUCAAGUAACCAAAUCAUCUACAUCAUUUAAUUUUGAGGUGGGAUAGCAUUGGUAUCCUAUUGCAGCCAUUACUGGUAGACUGUUUACUAGGCAUAGAUUACAAUAAUAGGGUGAGCUAGAUAUUAUCAACAAAUGGAAGCUUUCUUGGGUUAGUUUAGAGCAGGUAAAAUGAAAAAAAAAAAAAAAAUAAAAAAAAAAAAUAAAAAAAUAAAACGUAGAUUGCAAGAAAUAUGAUUGACAUCAUCUGUGACUAGAGUAUGACAUUCUUUACACUUUUUAAAAAGUGACAUACACCAAUUCCAUAAAUUAGUAGAAAAUUUGGUAAAACUUAUAUCUUGCCUAAUUGAACUGCAGAAAGUGUAGAACAUAUUUUGAAGUUUUUAAAAUUGCAUGAGAAGGUACAAUUACGGCUCAAAAUAAUUGUUUUUUCUUCAGCUUGAUAAUUGAUGAUUUUCUGCCUAAUUUUCUUCAGUUUUGUAACAUAAGCUCUCCUGAUGGGAAUUUGCCUUGUGUUGUCACUUCGUGACAAUUUCUCGACUUUAUUUUAAUUAUUUGAUAUAUUUCAAUUAUUCUAUUUGCCUCAAAAAUUGAGACGUCACUUUGGGGGUAGGGCCCAAUAAUUUGGCAGUUGAUAGUUGCUUGUUGUUCUUUCGCAGCACUUCAAGAGUUCUCGUCACGGAGUGACAUAAGUAUGCCAUUUUUUGAAAAUAUUAUUUUUCUGUUCGCGUAGUACUAUAAUAUUGGGUUUAAACUGCAAAUUCUUCCGCACUGCACUCUACUUACUUUGGAUCUUACCCACAAUGAAAAUUGAAUGACAUGAUUGAUUGGCAAUGGCAACUUUUUUAAAACUAUCGACUCGAUGACCAAAAUAUUUGACCUAACAUGUGCCGGUUUUGAACAAUAUGAACGAACCUAUUGUAGACUGCCUUUGGAAAAAUAUGUAAUAUGGCAAAAUGCAUUGUUUUGCAAUAUAAUUAGACAUUUUUGUAAAAGGAGUAAGUGAAUUCAAAUAAUUCACAAACAAUAUUACAUCUGGAUUUUGGUUUAUAUCCAUUUAUCGGGUUGACUCAUAGGAUGGUAAAAAUAUUGUGAAAUGUAAAAGAAAUAUGUGUUUGUCAAAAAUUGAAGAUAGUUCCAAUUAGAAAACGCCAGUGCGUCACUCAUUGUCACCAAUAAUUAUUUUUCCGUGCCAACUAUAUCAUAAAACUGGAAAAAGCAAAAAUGAUACAAUAACGUGUUUUCGCAGGGACAUAUUUAUCACUGUCUUCUUGUUCUGAAUAUGCAGACUAAGAAUACUGUGUUUGGGGCCUACCGUUUCUAUGUGUGCUUUGCAAGCAGAAACAAGUACUACCUAACAAGAGAGACUUCAAUGCAAAAGAAAAUGCUUUUCUAUGGUUAAUAAAUUAGAUAUCCAAAUAACAAAAAUCGUUGCAUGAUGCAAAGAUUCUUAAACUGAAUUGCAUUAACGAAUCCUCCAGAUUCGGAAUUUUGAAUUGCCCAUUCUUUGUCAAAUCACUACAAUAAGAUACCAGAUAUAUAGGGUGGAAUAGUUAUGUCUGUUUCAUGUUGUCUGUGCAACAUAGCUUUUUUACUUAACUAUAUAGAUUAUUAAAGUUAGUGCACUCGUGUAGCAUAUUUAUAUGAGGGAGACACAAGCAGAAUGACAAAAAAAUAUAAUGUUUCCCAAUUUUUUGUUUAAAUGCUUUGUAAUUUCAAACAAAUAACCAAUUUUGAUCUAAUAUAACUGAUUGUUCAACAUUCUUAAUACCAUUUUAAUGAUAAGGAAUUUUUUCGUGCUACUAGUUGGCCGUAUAAUUGGGCUGCUUCCUAAAAAAAGUUUGUUGUACAAUAAAUUUUGCAUAAAUGUAGAGAUUAAUAUCUCUAGAAUACAGAGAGGGAGUGGUCACUUUUUUGUGGCUUUGGGGCCAGGCCACGGAGAAAUUGGGGCCGGGCCACAAACGAUUUUACAAAAAUUGAGGUCGCGGAAAAAAAAGUUUGGGAACCACCGCCGUA